rnacentral:rRNA from 1 species
AUUGAACGCUGGCGGCAUGCCUUACACAUGCAAGUCGAACGGCAGCACGGACUUCGGUCUGGUGGCGAGUGGCGAACGGGUGAGUAAUAUAUCGGAACAUACCUUGUAGUGGGGGAUAACUAUCCGAAAGGAUAGCUAAUACCGCAUACGCUCUAUGGAGGAAAGCGGGGGAUCGUAAGACCUCGUGCUAUAAGAGUGGCCGAUAUCUGAUUAGCUAGUUGGUGAGGUAAAGGCUCACCAAGGCGACGAUCAGUAGCUGGUCUGAGAGGACGACCAGCCACACUGGAACUGAGACACGGUCCAGACUCCUACGGGAGGCAGCAGUGGGGAAUUUUGGACAAUGGGGGCAACCCUGAUCCAGCAAUGCCGCGUGAGUGAAGAAGGCCUUCGGGUUGUAAAGCUCUUUUGUCAGGGAAGAAACGGUUGUGGCUAAUAUCCAUGGCUAAUGACGGUACCUGAAGAAUAAGCACCGGCUAACUACGUGCCAGCCGCCGCCGUAA